AGGCACUUGCAAAGCUGGACUGCAGCAAGGUAGUCAGUAUUUCUGUUUGGGAAGGCUGGGACGGAGACCUGCAGAGAUGAGUUUUGCAUAUUCAGAAAAGUAAACAGCAGAGUCAGCCUUGUUUUUUCUGCAGAAUUACAGAAACCAGAUAUGGAAAAGACCUAUUAACUCAUCUUUCCAUUUCCCUCCAGGGCAGAGCGGGAUUGCUCCCUGGAGGAGAUUAUUUUUAGCACUCUGUCGAACAGAGUUUUCAACGUCUCAUGACAUGGGGGUUUCUCUUCCAGGGAUUUAGAUGUAUGAAUGAUAAACCAGAUUUUGCCAAAAGAAGGCUUGACCCAGACAUGAAAUGAGGAUCAAAGCAGCGCUAUGAGGUUCAGAAAUGUUUGCCUGCAUGUUUUCUUUUCUCUCUAACAUGUUUCUGCAUCUCUCUACAGCGAGCCUUGCCUGGGAAGGAAACAGAGGCAACGAAGCCCGGUUCUCCAGGGAUUUUUGUUCUUACAGAAAAGAAGAAAUGCGACAAUUGCUCUGGAAGAAGCUUCACACGGGCACCUCACGUCCCAGGGAAACGUGGUACACGCUUGCAUUUAUGGGGAGAAAAAGAGGCACGGCACUGCUCGGUAAGCAGAAGGAGGACUUUUUGUGGCAUCUCUGUGGUUGUCCAUGUGGCCAGUGAACCCAUCCAGGAAUCAGCACCUGCAUACCCAGAAGCACAAGGACAGGCAAGGUGCUGGGCAGGUUCCAGGAUCUGGUGACUCUCAGGAAGUGGCUGGAGGAUGUACCUGGGGGAAGAGGAGGCAGGGAGCUGGAGUGCUGAGCAGGUGGUCCAGCAGAUGAUGUCCUGGCUGUGGGCACUGUGGCAGUGGUGUAAGCAGAUACCCUUCCUCAGCCAAGCAGCUCAGGCAGAGCUCCUGAGGAUGACAUGGAGAUAACACGCGUGGCUCAGCUCGAGGGAAAACUACAUCAAACGCAGCUGGAGAGCUCUUCUUUUUGGAAUAGUUGUGGAUCAGAGGGUCCCUUGCGCGGAGCAUCCCCCAGAGGUGCAGCAGACACGCAGCAGCAUGCAGAGCGGUGCAGGC